CCUCCAAUAUCACUUGCACCAACCUGAGCAUGACUUUGUUCCUCCAUCAUUUCAGCAGGGGUUUCGGCUACAUUACCCGUAGCCCGAUCUUUUCCAAAUAUAUAUGCAAAUCUAUCGUACAGUGGAAAAGUGUUUUGGUAAUGGCAGUGGAGGAGAUGGCGGAAUUGGGGCAGGCACAGGCCCAGGUUAUGGUGGCAGGGUGGGUGGUCAUGACGAGAAGAUGAACAAGCUGUGUUACAUGUAAUAAAGUUAGUUUGGUUUGUAUACAAGCUGUGUUGUUUCACUUAAACAGAGAAAGAUGAAUAGUUUGGUUUGUAUACAAGGUGUGUUGUUCCACUUAAACAGAAAAAGAUGAAGGGCAGGAAGAACAGAUGUUACUCUGCUUGCACA